CAUGCACACACACACACACACGGACAGAGUCAGCACGAGGCUGCUGAGCCACACAGCCAGCGGAAGCCAAGCCCCAGCAGCGGCCCACUUCCUGAUCUCCUUCCUGUGCUCUGGGAGGUUCUCUCUCUGUGUGUCUUUCUGACUGUCUGUCUCUGUUCUUUGUUUCUAGCAUGGCAACAGCUGUGGAUGCUGCCUGCGUGGCCAGGGCUCCUAGCAGCACUGACCUGCAAGGCCCCUCUGAAACAUCACCUUCUUGGAGAACCCUUCCCCAGACACUGCCCCUGCAGAGUGCCGCAGUUCUUCCCUGGGCCCUCACUGCGUCUCUGUUUAAAAUCUAAAGCCAGAUCCAGUUCUCAUGCUGCCUCCUGCAGAAAGGCAUCUCUGGUGUUUCCCAGCCAGAGGAGCCUCCCCAUCUCUCAACUCCUGACCACUUCUCUUAAAAACAUGAGCAUGUCCUCCUGCGGCUGCCCAUUGCCCUCCUACCACCCACCAUGGCCCUGCUGCACUCCCGCCGCACCCUCUCCGGCAUCGUGCUGCCUUCCUCCCAGGCCUCGCCACCGCAGCCUCUGCCAGAGCCAGCUCCUGGUGGACCCAUAUGGAAAUGGGACCUCCAGAUCCCAUCCUGGGAGUCACUGAAGCCUUUAAGAGGAACACCAACAGCAAAAAGGUGAAUCCGGGAUUUGGUGCCUACUGGGAUGAUCACAGAAAGCCUUACGUGCUGCCUAAUGUCCACAAGGCAGAGGCCCAGAUUGCCGCAAAAAGUUUGGACAAGGAGUACCUGCCCACUGGGGGACUGAAUUUUGCAAGGCAUCUGCACAACCAGCCCUGAGUGAGAAUAGCAAAGUCUUAAAAAGUGGCCGGUUUGUCACUGUGCAGACCAUUUCUGGAACCGGGACCUUAAGGAUCGGAGCCAGUUUUCUGCAAAGAUUUUUUCAAGUUCAGCCAAGAUGUCUUUCUGUCCAAACCAAGCUGGGGAAAUCACACACCCAUCUUCAGGGAUGCUGGCAUGCAGCUACGAGGUUAUCGGUAUUACGACCCCAAGACUUGUGGUUUUGGUUUCACAGGUGCUAUAGAGGACAUUUGAAAAAUACCAGAGCAAAGCGUUCUUCUUCUGCAUGCCUGUGCCCACAAUCCCACGGGAGUGGACCCGCGUCUGGAACAGUGGAAGGAAACAGCAACAGUGGUGAAGACAAGGAAUCUCUUUGCGUUCUUUGACAUGGUCUACCAAGGCUUUGCCAGUGGUGAUGGUCAUAAGGAUGCCUGGGCUGUGCGCCACUUCAUUGAACAGGGCAUUACUUUGUCAAUCAUAUGCCAAGAACAUGGGCUUAUACGGUGAGCGUGCAGGAGCCUUCACCGUGAUUAACAAAGAUGUGGAUGAAGCCAAAAGACUAGAGUCACAGUUGAAGAUCUUGAUCCGUCCCAUGUAUUCCAACCCUCCCCUCAGUGGGGCCCGGAUUGCUUCUACCAUUCUGAACAUGCCAGAUUUGCUAAAACAACGGUUGCAAGAAGAGAAAGGUAUGGCCAACUGCAUCAUUAGCAUGCCAACUCAGCUGGUCUCCAGCCUCAAGAAGGAGAGCUCCACCCACAACUGGCAACACAUCACCGACCAAAUUGGCAUGUUUUGUUUCACAGGGCUAAAGCCUGAACAGGUGGAGUGGCUGACCAAGGAGUUCUCCGUCUACAUGACAAAGGACAGCUGCAUCUCUGUGGCAGGGGUCACCUCCGGCAACGUGGGCUACCUUGCCCGUGCCAUUCACCAGGUUACCAAGUAAUGUCCGCGGUGUGAGGAAACAGAGACAACCUUUCUGUCUUCAGCCUCUGCUAUUGGGAGCUUCACACAGAGAAUGAGAGAGGGUGGAUGGUGGUGAGUGGAUGAUUUCUUUCAACCACAGUGUAUAACACUCAGCGAUUGAAUGUUUCUCAGAAAAGAGCAUAUAGCGACACAGGGCAGAGGCGCUGGCAUCUGGAACAUUGUGGCUCUAAAUCAAACUCUCUCCCGUCCUUUCAUCUCCAACUUUUCUCAAAGAGUUUACAUGUGCAAGAAAGUCAUCGCACCAAAAAACCUGUCAAUUAUGCCAUUGCAAUAUUUCAGAAGCUUUAACUGAAGUGUCAGUUUCCUCAUGAGAAAUAGCACACUUUGGAGGCUUUGAGAGAAGACCUAGUUCUGUCACACACAGUUGGCCUCGUGUCUGUCCUCCCAUCAUGGAGCAACCUCAUCAACAGACUGCAUUGCAGAAAUUAUGUUUUAUGUAAACCAGUGAGUCUGCUGCCACUACAGCCAGGAAAACAAUGCAGUUUCCUGUCUUAUUUAAGAAAAAGAGAAGGCUGUCUUCUCUCCCUUGUCUUUGCUGUUCUUUAACUUACGCACAAUGAUUUUUAACUAAUGCAGAUUUUAAUCCCAUUCUACUGCUUGACUGACCAUCAGCCCCAUCCUAUUGGGAUUUAUUUAAGAACAAAGAACAUAAUUUUCUGCUAACGUCAUACCCUCACCUUUCUCAGCAAAGAAUAGUGGAGAGUAGGUAACUGUCCUUUAUCUCAGUAUCUUCUUGAAUGACUGUGUAAUUUUCCUCAGUUGGGAUGUGGCCUCUGCCCAGUUGGACCGCCUCCCUUUGUUGUAUGUGAUUGUUCAAGUCACUCCUCUCAUGUUAUGAGUCCAGCAGCGCAGGGUGGUACCAGGAAAGAGGACAUUCUAGGCUUUGUGUGCUGACAGCUGGGUUCAGGCUUCACCCACCUGAAAGAACCACCAUCUGCUCUAAUCAUGUACACUUAUUAUGGCCUGGUUUCUCUGUUACAAUAAAAUUACUGUAGACCCCCCCAAAAAA